CGCACGCAACUGACAGUUCUGUUUGUUUUCGUUCGUGCUAUAAAUAAUCUCGUCCCGUUUCCGUCCGCGAAAUCUAUUUCGAGUCAAAGUUACGAGGUCCGUUCCGUUCUAACUCGCCCUAAUCGAGACCAUGUUCCGGCGCUCUGAUCGUAGGGGAAAUCUCUGUGCGAAAGUUAAAAGUCGUCGCUCUUGGUGAAAUUUAAUCGAGCAUUAUCUGCGGUUGAAGCUGCUGUCGCCAAAGGAGCUGCUGCAGCUACCUGAUUUGAUAUGAAAGGUGACUUAUCUCCACGAAGGGCAUCGUGCUGGUCCGGGUGCUUCCGGUACGGUGCAGGCGAAGCAAUCGACCUGAUUGAGAAAAUGCUCAAUGUUGCGCCGCAGACGGUACUUUCAAAUUCCGGAUUUGGGCCACGAGCAACACGACGAUUCGAACGCGAUCUAAACGGCGUACAAUAUCGUGACGUAGAACUGUGGAACGGUUUGCGACGGGUUGCACGUUCACCGGGGUGCUAAAUAGGUUGAACUAUCUAAUCUAAGGGAUCCACACCAUAAUUUAAGCAAAUUGGACGACUUCGACUUAACGCCUUCAUCUCAACUAUGUUAAGGUAAAGCUACAUAUUCCUGUUUUGCUGCUGAUUCCUUAAUUCCGUUCAUCGAGCAGCGGGAAAUUCAUUUGAAGUGACCCUUGCUCAUUUCGUUCAAAAAUCAACACGUUCCGGCAUGUUGCGAUCCUUCGCGUGAUGUCAAAACUCGUUAAACCUGGUCAAAAGAUGUCAUCAAAAAACGAAUCUUAAAAAAUAGUAAAUAAUAAAGUGGCGGCGACAAAUUUUCCAAUUCCGAAUGCCAGUUUUGGGUUACAAUAAA